AAGGAGCACCAUUUUUUCCCCCGUCCCCGCAACCGUGCGGGAAGUGAUGGUUGGGAUAGGUUUGCCGGCGCCUGUAGUGGGUUGUCCGGUGGUGCAGAUAAUUUACGAACAGCAACAGCUUUGAUCACCAACCGCCGGGAGCGUUAUCGUUUCUGGUGGCCGGCCUUUGUGGGUUGGGCACACUGUUGGGUCCUGAGGCAACAGGCCUGUUGUUGCCCCYUGGUGGGGGUGGGUGUGUUGUCGCUCCAUCUUGGUGGUGGGGUGUGGUGUUUGUUUUGUGGAUAGUGGUUGCGAGCAUCUAACAGGCAAGGCUCCGUUGUGGGUUUUGUUUGUUUUGCAAUUUUUGUUUCUUGGUUUUUGUGU
rnacentral:misc_RNA from 1 species